AUAUUUUUGCACCUAUGGACUAUGGUUCAAAGUUCAUCUCUUCCCCAUGUCUCAAAAGGGAAAGAAAAAUAAAAAGAUAACGAUCCAAAACAUGAAUCUCUAUCCGAAUCAAUCUUUCUCUUUCUCUCUCAAGUUAUAAAUAUGAUCCCAAAGAGCUUGUCACAGCCACUAAUACUAUUCUAUUUUCUCCUCUUCUUUCAUCUCAAUUUUUUUGUUUUCUUGGUGAAAAUCGGAUUGAAAGAAAGAAGAAAAAAGAACCCCCCGAAAUUUCAGCGUAAUUCAUAAGUACACAACAAAUAAAAUCUGAGAAUCUAAAUUGACCACAAAUACGGAGAAGAACGAGAACGUCUAAAGAAAAUGGUCGCCUUUGGAAAAAAGCUCAAGGAGCGUAGCAUUGAAGAAUGGCAAGA